GCUGCUGGAAGUGUUCCGCUCAGACAUGGGAGAUUAAAACCAUCACCUGGGCUCUUGACUAACUCCCCCUCUGCCGCCUCAGUGGUGCAGACCCGUUUAGAAUGCAUGUGCCUUUCUCUUUCCAAAGCAUUGUAGGAUUGGCUCCCGCCUUCCAUUCAUGUAACCUGCGUGUGUGAGUGUGUGUGUGUGUGUGUGUUGCUAGCUCGCCCUCUCUGUGUAUGUGUGUAAGAGAGAGACGGGGGGAGGGAGGGGAAGAAGAGAAGGGAAGCUAUUAAAAAAAAUAUACCCCAAGCCCAAGCCUGAGGAUUGCAGCUGUUUAAUGUGGGCCAGCAGUCCUACCAGGAACACUUCGCCUGGAGAAACCUGGACCGGCCUUUCGGGUGUGUGUCUGUGAGAGCCAGGGCUUUUCUUCUUUUUUCCUCGCGCCCCUCUUGUUAUUGUGGAGCCUGCCUGAGAGGAUGAGAGCCCGGACCUCCCGGUAGUUGCCCAGUUUGGGAUCCUGGAGAGAAGGAGCCAAUACGUCUCGGAGAAGAGUGGCUUUAUUUGUACAGAAGAAAAACGCACAAUUUAAUUUUUCCUUCCUUUGCCUUUUGCCCCGGGGAGCCUGCAGACACGAUGGCAAAACUGAAUAUUGGAUUUGAGAAAUGAUCUGUUCAACAAACAAAAGGUUCCCAACCUACUCCUAAAACAAACUAGGUUCAGAUGGCAUUGGGAAGAGAACUGCAGAACCCAAGGACAUUGCUAAUUCUUUGGAACCCGCUGACAUGGAGCAAGGUAGACUGAAAUUAGCACGUGUCCAAAUUAAAAUCACAAACUUCAAGGACUAUUUGAUGGACUAUUCCUAGACCCUUUUCUGAAGAUUUCAGGGGGAAAAAGUCAGUCAGAGAUCCUUAGAACAUCGCUCCAAGGCAUUCGUCCAUGACUGAAAGGAGACCUAAAGGAGGUCAUGGAGCCAUUUAAAUUCCUAGAUCACAAGAUUGUUUUGAGGCUCAAAUAAAAUACCACAUGUAAAAGCAUUUUGUAAACUUCAAGGUUGUCUCUUUCCCUUUGUAUAUAUGUAUGUAUGUAUGUAUGUAUGUAUGUAUGUAUGCAUGGAUAUAAUGUAUAUAUGUAAAAUACAUGUAUACUAAGUGCUCUAUUUAGUUUCUAUGUAUUCACUGGAUAGAUGUCAGUGGUUAUAAUUAUUACAGAGGAUACUGAGGCUCAGAGAUAAAAAAGGAUUAUCCAAGGUCAACAAUAGAGUUAAAUGGUAGAUCUUAGACUCAGACCCAAGUCUUCUAUCUCCAAAGUGAGUGCUCUGCCCAU